GGGCGGGGCCUUGGGCGGGGCCAGGUGGGCGACCAGGGGCGGGGCGAGGGCGGGAGGGGAGCCGGAGAGAAAGGGAGGCGGAGAUGCGGGUGAGAGGUGAGGUCGGAAGGGGCUGGCAGGCACCUGAGCGUGGAGGUGGUGGGGUCAGAGUGCAGUGCACCGGGCCAGGCGGGUUAAGGGGCUGUCGGACAGGGGAGGAGUCGGAGAUGGCCAGUGUCACUCGGUCUGUGCCGGAGGCGAGAAGUCAGACCCUCCGGCCCCAGGUGGGCUAACAUUCCACCCCACGUAAGAAGAUGACGAUGCAACAGCCAUUACUGAUGUCCCCCGGCCCACCUCCUCCCAUGCUGCCGCCUCCUCCCGGGAGCCAUGGGGCCCGGGGCUCGCUCCAGGACGGCUGUCUUUCCUGGCAGCCUCAGGAGCGUCCGUGAUCCAUGCUGACUUGCUCCAGUCCAGCCCAACGUGCCAGGGAGGCCCUGCCUGACCACCUUGUCCACAGCACUUCCUGGUAUGUUGUGGCUCCACUAGAGUGAGGUCUUGGAGGGGCAGGCUGCACCCCCAGGGCCCUGUCCAGAGCCAGGCAGACUGGUUCAUGGCCAUGAAUCCCAGAAGUUCCACGACUCCUAAGGUGACUUUGUAGCUCCUCCCAGCAAGAGGCGGCGUCCACUUCACCCCCUUGGAUCUGGGCUGGCCCUGGCCUCACAUUGCCCACAGAAUGUGACGGCCCUGAAGCUGCACGAGUCCCAGAGCCUCGGCGUCAAGAGGCCCGGCCCAGCGCUCCCUGUGCUCCCUGGGUGCUGUGCAGUCCUCAGAAGCUGCCUCGCAGGAAAGAGCAGGGGAGAGUGCGCGGUCCCCAGCAGCUCACCAGCUGGAGUGAACUGGGCCAGCCCCGCAGAAGAGCUGCCCGGCCAGCCCCCGGGAGAGGGGGAGGAAUGAAUCAUUAUUUUGAACCAGUGCAGCGGGGGGUAAUAGGGCCCUGGGACACCUUCGACCCUUGUGUGAUGAACGAGCAAAGGAGCAAAUGAACGAAUGUGUGAAAUUCCCAGAAAAGUGCAAAGGUGCAGUCUGCUGAGUAGUAAGUUUCUGUUAGAGCGAGAGAGAGAGCGAGCGAGUGAGCGAGAGAGAGAGAUGGAUAGGGAGAGGAUGGAUAGGGAGAGCUCCCGCUGGCUGGCUCACUCCUCGACGGCCCACAAUGGCAGGGGCUGGGCGGAAGCGCUCCCUUGAGCCAGGAACUGGAUUCAGAACCCAGCCACCCAGGGCCUGCAGCGGCAGGAAGCUGGAGUCAGGAACCAGGAGAGGAAGUGGAACCGGGGCAGUCUGACGUGGGGCGCAGGUGCUGCCGUGGGUGUCCUAACCACUUGGCCGAAUGCCUGCUCCCACCCUCCACCCCCCAGCUGUUUUCUGGGGGACAGGGAAUGAACGAGUUUCACGCCCGGCAGCGAGGCCAGACCAGGUCCCCGCCCUGCUGAAAACUCGCCAGCGGACCUCGUCCACCCAGGAGGGCGCUCUGCGUGUCGCCCUGUGACCAAGGGUGACAGGGCCCUGCCGACUUCUCUGCCCUCAUUGUUCUCCAGCUACUUGGGAUUCCUUCUGGUCUCACCAGGGUUUGGUCCAUUCACGUCCGUCCCUGUCUGCUUCUCCCCGAAGGCAGUGCCACCCCCAGGGGCGUCUUCAUCCUCAGAAGAGGUCAGGGAGGUUGGACAAGGCCCUGCCAAGAGCCAGAGAAGCCCAAGGAACCCACGCUGACACCCAGAAGUCGGCGUUCCUGGGGACAACAACACUUUGCACCCAGGACCCCGCUCUGCCUUACACAUAAACUCGGCGUUCUUUGCACAGCUUUAAAACCAUGUUUGCCUGGGACCGGUGCUGUCGCGUAGCGGGUAAAGCCGCUGCCUGCAGUGUCGGCAUCCCAUAUGGGCACCGAUUAGAGUCCCGGCUGCUCCACUUCCGAUCCAGCUCUCUGCUAUGGCCUGGGAAAGCAGUGGAAGAUGGCCCAAGUCCUUGGACCCCUGCACCCAUGUGGGAGACCCAGAGGAAGCUCCUGGCUCCUAGCUUUGGAUCGGCGAAGCUCCGGCCGUUGUGGCCAUCUGGGGAGUGAACCAGCGGAUGGAAGACCUCUCUCUCUUUCUCUCUCUGCCUCCUGGCUUCUACUCACUUCUUCACAUCUUCUCAUGUAAUUGCACCUGAGCAUUUAUGUAUUGAAAUAAAACCUGAAAAAUUAUA